rnacentral:rRNA from 1 species
UACGAAGGGGGCUAGCGUUGCUCGGAAUCACUGGGCGUAAAGCGCACGUAGGCGGAUCCUUAAGUCGGGGGUGAAAUCCUGGAGCUCAACUCCAGAACUGCCUUCGAUACUGAGGAUCUCGAGUCCGGGAGAGGUGAGUGGAACUGCGAGUGUAGAGGUGAAAUUCGUAGAUAUUCGCAAGAACACCAGUGGCGAAGGCGGCUUUCUGGACCAAUACUGACGAUCAGGUGCGAAAGCGUGGGGAGCAAACAGG